AUUGAACGCUGGCGGCAGGCCUAACACAUGCAAGUCGAGCGAGCGGCGGACGGGUGAGUAAUGUCUGGGAAACUGCCUGAUGGAGGGGGAUAACUACUGGAAACGGUAGCUAAUACCGCAUACCAUCAGAUCUGCCCAGAUGGGAUUAGCUAGUAGGUGGGGUAACGGCUCACCUAGGCGACGCUCCCUAGCUGGUCUGAGAGGAGGACCAGCCACACUGGAAGGGAGACACGGUCCAUACUCCUACGGGAGGCAGCAGUGGGGAAUAUUGCACAAGGGGCGCAAGCCUGAUGCAGCCAUGCCGCGUGUGGGAAGAAGGCCUUCGGGUUGUAAAGCACUUUAAGUUGGGAGGCGUUACCAACAGAAUAAGCACCGGCUAACUUCGUGCCAGCCGCCGCGGUAAUUC
rnacentral:rRNA from 1 species